ensembl:lncRNA
GGCGAUGGUUACAGACAGGGCAUUGAAAAUCCGGACGUCACACACACCGGCUUGUGCCCAACACAUGCCUUGAGUCCCAGGUCCACUUCACGCACUGGUUAUUAGUGUCCAUUUUAUUUUAUAAUGUGGGUAUGUAGUGUGAUUGAUAUUUUAUCCAUUAGACGUUUGGGGAUUGUGAUUGUGAAUGUUCUAAAUUAUUAAAAGUUCAUGGACGUCUUAAAUUAUUUUGCUUUUGCCUAUGUUCUUAAAUGACUAAUUAAAUGAUAAUUUCACACAUGUCAAUAGAUUGAUAAACAAAACAAAUGGGAAAAGACACUUUCUGGUUCUCCAAAGCUUCGAUGUGGCUUUUUCAAAGGCGGUCUACUUUGUAACAUCAUUAUUAAAGGGACAUUUUAACAUUUUACGCUAAACUAAAAGACUGUUUUUCUGUCAUGACUAGUGUAAAUUAUCAGUGGAAGUAAUAUCAGUAAUAUAUUCCAUUGUGUUACCUCUGCUAGAACUCAUAGCAAUUAACGAAUAUUGUGAUGUGGAUGAUGAUGAUGAUGAUGAUUUUAAUUAUUAAUAAUAAAACAACUGGGAAGAUGGCGACAUAUUCAGCAACUUUGAGUAAAUACCAGUUAUCAAAUAAUGAGACAAUAACCUGACUGCAACAGUUAAUAAACCAAAACAUCCUGUAACACUGAUUUAGCAGAAAGUUAAAGGCCUUCCUGAAUAAAAAGGUGUUUGGGCCAGUCUUAAAAGAGUCCAGGGUCUUUGUUGCCCUUAUUUGGGGGACUGCUCCAAAAGAGUAAAAGCCCUGUCGCAUUGUGAGAAGCUUAUGGUGGAGCUUGGUGUUGGGAAACGAGUAAAGGAAAGGAGUAGCGGUCGGAGGUAGACGUGGGGAUGUGUGGCGGUGCAAACCUCAAGCCAGGCUGAGGGUGCAUCCCUGGGAUGAACAGCACCGUCUCCAGCUGGUGAACCAGAGAGCUGCUUCAGAGGCACCGGGUCCUGCCCGCCUGAUGGUGAUGCCGCCAUAAGGCAGAGUACUAAACGAGCUUUCAGAGGGGCUGCAUGGCCUCAAUCUGCCAUCUGAUUCCUCCAGCUACGCUGUGGGGGGAACACACACUGUCAAAAAGCGUUGUCUUUUUUGUUUCACUUUAAAGAGCUGUUUUUAAAAAAUCUGCUCGCUGCUUCUGGGUGACUCACAUUUCUUGGGUCGCAGUUCCGUCGGCACGGACUUAAUUCAAUGUCAUCACGUGAUACAUGGACUUGUGGGAAACACCUCCACCAGACGGUCUUUCAAUGGCCCAUUUCCAUCCGAAAAUAAAGCCUAUUAGUUUAAUAACAUUUUUAUGAUAUAAAUGAGUUUAAAGUAUGGUUAAGCAAACUAACACCAAACAUUUUUGUCGGUUUUCUCCAGACAUCACACCAGUAAUGGAUUCAUAUAGGAGUCGGCAGUGUUCGGUUUCUCUGGUUUUAGUUUAAUAAAGAUUCAUUUGAAUUAUUUGACAAUGCUGACAGGGGAAGCAGCUUUUGAGAUCUCUCUCUCUUUAAUAGCAGAACCACCGCAAGUGGAGCUGUGCUCGUCAACCUGGCCUCCAUGUGCUUCAGGCACCGGCAGAUCAAGGCAUCCGCCACUUUGGUGACCCAAUAUCUCAACCACAUGUGGACAAGUCCCGCUAGUAAUGCAAAUAUUUUGUUUUCAUACAUUCUCCCGCUGCCUCCGGGCAACGUCUUCAAGUAGGGAGGUACGAGAUGAAGCCGAGCUGGAGCUUCCUGCCGAGAGCGGGGAGGUAAAGAAAUCCAAGUGUUCUCUGAGAAAACGUCUUAAUCUUCUGCGCCGCGGUUGCAAAGAGGAAGCUGUCAGAGGCCUCUGAUGAUUGAAAUAGGGAGCUGCUGCUUGGCUGUAUUUUCUGCUUCUACUGCACACAACAACAUUGUGAUGAAUAGGACUUUUCAGGAGUCAACCCACCGGCUGCAGUUUCAAAUUAUAAGCAUUACAUGUCAUUUUUUGCAAUUACAAUAGAGUCCCACGGGUAAUUCAUCAUCGGUUAACAAUAUAAACACUACUUACUUAAUGAUCCUAUCAUUGCGGAGUCUUCCUUGGAUGAAUUCUGGGUUUUGUAGCAAGCACCAGAACCAGGUUUAACUUUUAUAGAUUUAAAUUAAAUGGUAUCCACUCGUCUCGUCAUAUAGCAUAUCAAGGAGAGGUAUAUAGGGGUGAUUAAAAGGUUUUCUGAAGAGACAUGGUGUUCGCAAACACUAAAAUCUUCCUCCUGUGGUGUAGCUUGAACAUGAAGCAUCAAGUCAAUUUGUUUUUCCUUAUUUCAAAGAUUCAAAGACUGGCUCCUUUUCAGAUAAACAGGGAGUAGCUUGAGGUUUUUUGCUAGGUUUAGCCCUGGCCACUCGGAGCUACUGUCUGCACACUCCCACUUGACCAGAGCGGCCUGGCAGGAGCGUUCUCCUUAAACAUCUGUCUGUGAGGUAUAUCGGUCGGUUUCAGCAUUACCUCAUAUUUAAAUGCCAGUGUAUGACUUUAGAAUAGGAUUGAUGUGGUCUGACCUUUUGGUCCCUACGAGCACUGCAGCAAGCCAAAUAAGCUGAAGCUUUCUGAUGGUCAGUUUGAGGAGCCCUGUCAGAAGAACAUGCACAAGUCAACUGUCACGGUGUGGUUUAUUUCCAAAACCAAGAAAUUCCAAAGGGCCAAGGGGCAAAAAUACCAGCAGAAACCAAGAACAUCCAACAAUCAACAAUGACAAGAGACACAAGUGACAAGAGACACACACAGCUUAAAUACACUAGGGAGGUGCAGGUGAUUGGUCACAGGUGGAAACAAUCCGACAAUCACAGGGGAUGACAGGACAAGGCAGGAAGUGAAGUUACCCAGGGAGACAAGAAGGAGAAAACUACAAAAUAAGACAAGAAAUAAACUACACCGUGACAUCAACACUGCUGUAAAUAAAAUAAAAUGUUUCCAGGUCUGCUUUGACAUCAAGUCCCUGAGUGUGACUGUAUUUGUAUGGUAAUGAAAAAAAUGUAUUUUGUGUUGCUAUUUAGACAAAUCACAGUCAACUAUAAUGGUAACCACUGGUCAAAAAUGUUGAAUUUCAUCAUUUUUUCACCAACAAAAUAUUAUAAUAAAAAAGAAACGAUUGCUAUGAUUACGACACUGAAAUCAGUUUGUCUGAAUGCAUGUGUCAUUCUGUUUUCAUUAUAAAAUGUGACUUCCACAUUUAGCGAAACCACUCGAAAAUUUUAAAUGUCAUUUCAUAAUGUGAAAAAAUGUAAUGUAAAUGUAAAAUGUAAUGUAGCAUCUGUUUAUUACAAAACGCAGCAGGUCAUCAGAAACAGUGUUAUAGGAACAGCCAUAUUUCUCUCUGCUUCAACUACGGAUUGUCGGUGCAGCAUGUUUUACUUCUUUUCCCCAUCCCCUUCCACUGAGGCACUGGUUCCCAUGUCUGUGUGAUAUGAACCUAUUAGUGUCCAUCAGAGUUACAGAUUAUUACAUCUGCAUUAUUCUGUCCCUUUUGCACUAAAUGGACAGAAUUUAAUUAAUUUAUUCCUUCGAAUAGUCAGCAGUGAAUUAACACUUCAUCCCAGUCAUUUCACAGUGAUAACAUGACUGAGCAAACACUCAGCUUGUUAUUUAUUCUGCACACUUUCCCAUCUGUGUGUGUUGACAGUUUGCAUCCUCUGUUGAGUUCACGUUUAAUCGGAUUAUAUAUGUCUUAUAAUAAGAUCCCUUGGCUUGGAGGAUUGUUGUUUUUCCACACUCAGGGACUUGACACUGCAAGCGAUGAGCUCUCGCUCUCAUAGUGGCAUCUGGAGCUGAGCUCUCUCUGAAUGCCUCUCGACCCUCCAUUGUUGAAGGUGAAGAGGUGAAGGUAUUAAGAAACAGUUGUCUAUCGACACAUCAGCUUUCAAAAAAUCUCUUUUGCUGCUGAAGCCUCCAUCAUGUCCCCCCGCUGCUCUUUUACAAUAAGCAGGGAGAGUACAGUCAGAUACUUUUACAGGUAGAGUAUAAUUAGAUAUUUUUUAGAGUAGAGUACAAUCGGAUACUGUAACAAGUAAAGUAGAGUACAGUCAGAUACUGUUACAGGUAGACUACAGUCGGAUACUGUUAAGUAAGGUAGAGUAGCGUCGGACACUGGCACAGGUACGAGCAGCAGUGCCUCGUAUUCAAUUGCCAGUGUAGUCAGAUACUGUUACAGAUAAAGUAAAGCAGUCAGAUACUGUUACAGGUGGAGUAGAGUACAGUCAGAUACUGUUACAGGUAGAGUAGUACAGCCAGGUACUGUUACAGGUAGAGUAGUACAGCCAGGUACUGUUACAGUUAGAGUAGUACAGCCAGGUACUGUUACAGUUAGAGUAGUACAGCCAGGUACUGUUACAGGUAGAGUAGUACAGCCAGGUACUGUUACAGGUAGAGUAGUACAGCCAGGUACUGUUACAGGUAGAGUAGUACAGCCAGAUACUGUUACAGUUAGAGUAGUACAGCCAGGUACUGUUACAGGUAGAACAGUCAGAUACUGUUACAAAUAAAGUAAAGCAGUCAGAUACGGUUACAGGUGGAGUAGAGUACAGUCAGAUACUGUUACGGGGUAGAGUAGUAAAGCCAGGUACUGUUACAGGUAGAGUAGUACAGCCAGGUACUGUUACAGGUAGAGUAGAGUACAGUCAGAUACUGUUACAGGUAGAGUAGAGUACAGUCAGAUACUGUUACGGGUAGAGUAGUACAGCCAGGUACUGAUACAGGUAGAGUAGAGUACAGUCAGAUACUGUUACAGGUAGAGUACCUGCAGCUGUUUCCUCGGCUGCUCUCCACUAUGAGCCACACAAUAACAGCCUCUGUAAAGCUCACCAAUUGUAUAAUAAAAUUGGUGAUUUUUUGGUGGUUUCUUUUGUGUUUCGGUAAAAGUGACACAUUUAACUGAAUAUAGUGAGUAAAUGGGAAAUAUAGAUCAAUGCAGCUUUCAGUACAGAGGUAGCAUUGACUUCCAUCCCGUCUUGUUCAAGGAGACUGAUGCACUAUUAACAAUGAUGUUGUCAAUGAGAAUGGGUGAAAGGAGCGUAUGUGUGUGUUUGGGCAAAUGAGGCAGGGUUGGUGUGUAUGGGGGGGGUGUCAGCUUCAGCCCGAACACAAAGACUUCCGUAUCUACCUGCAUAACGGGGAUGUCUAUAAUCCUACCUGUAACGCCCCUACCUCCCCUUUCCCAUCUCUGCUGUCUUCCCCCGUACACACUCAUGCAAGCUGUCCAUCACAGCCUAGGAAUAGAGGGAAGGGGUGUGAGUCUGGAGAAUACGCAGUGACGACUUACAGACUGGCUACCUGACUAAACAUAGCAAAGCCCCCCUGUCUGUGGUUGAACUAUGCCUGCCGUGCCUUGUCUUUUCCCCGAGUCUGGUCACAGGGGUUGGUGGAGGGGGGGAGGGGGAUCCCCCUCACUGCCAUGUGGGGGCGCUGUGGAGCUACGCCUGCUGCAGGUGUGAGACCCUCAUGUUCAUUCUGCUCUGCACUGGAGGUUAAAAUUAAACAUUAAACAUGGAGGAAAAUGAGAAGAGGGGGUGCGCAUAGGGAGGGUCGGGGGAGAUUCUAUUCAUGAAACGUCUACUUUCUUUGCAAAAUCGGACAUAACAGUGGGUGGAUGAUUCAUUGCUCGUGAGGGGCGAACUAUUCCGGCAAAGGAUGCAUAUUUCGGGCUUUGACACCUUUUACUAACAGUCCCUGUUGUGUUGUAAAUACCCACGGUCCCGAGGGGCGGGGUAAAUUUGUGCUCGGUUAUCAACUCACCAAAGAAAAACUACUAUGUACAAAUCAAUUCAUCAUAUUCACAACAGCGAGAGGUCUCAGGAGGAGAUGUUCAGAUGCUGGCUUGGGUUGGGAGUGGGGGGGGUUAUUGUUAGGUAUCUCUGGGGUAAUGUGAAGCAAUGGCGUGUGGAUUUUGACUUGAUGCCAUUUUGUUACGGUUCAGCGUUAUUGAUGUUUGCCGUUUUUGGCACAACAGCAUCUUUGAGGUUUUUCCAGAGUUUAAUUUUACAAUGUCGCCACUGAUGGCAAACCCGGGCCCUCUCUUUGCCGUUUCAGGAACAAAUGUGAUGCAACCCAGUGGCUGACAUGUCCAAAGGGGGCGGAUUGAGCGGCUCAAUGCAGUGGCUCUGUGCCGCGCAGCCAGUUUUCGCUAUCAUGACCUUGUCAACUGACUGCCACUCAAGUCAGACCUCCGAGGGUUUCUGCUUCCUUAGCCGAGGCCGGCGCUGUGACGGACCAAAAAAAAUCUCACUGCUGCGCAAUUCCCUUGAGACGCCACAUGGCAGGUAGGCAGCAGUACGGAAAGGUUUUUCUGUGAACUUCAAGGAACGAUGCCCCGCCACCCCCCAAAAAACUGAAAACAGAGAGAGAUUACAGACUCAACACAUCGGCCAUGGCUUGAAUUUUCCUUCUGAAUUAAGCAAUCAGGGACAAUUGAAGGACUUGGUCAAAGAGUCACACAACAAAGUGGUUUUGUCAUUGUGCAACCAGAGAUUUUGUGUCGGGAAGAAAGUGAAUUAAUUAAAUUGCAUUGGUUAGCGCCUAAGUACUUGACACUGGUGCCCAAUUAAGAUCUGUAAGGCCUGGGGCACGAAACACUGGAGGAGCCUAUAGAUUUUUAAUAGCAAAUACAUGACAAAAGUGCUACUUUCGACUUUGAUAACCUUGUUUUAAUUACGCAAUUACAUGGCCGUCUCCUAACCCUGCUCUCUUUGGUGCAUUUAAAAGCAGCCUCCACAUUGAGGGCCAUUUGUUCAGCGCUACGUCAGCUUUGAACUCGUGGGAAAUAAUAUGCAAAAAUCUUUCCUUUGAUGCAGAGCAAAGUGCGCUUAUUAAACAAUUAUCAUAGUUAUUCUCGUAUUAAUCCCCCAGAGAGACUGCAAAUUAGCAGGAGGGUUUAAAAUAGACUUGUUUAAUAGGUGACUGUAUGCCCCGCGGCACAGCAAUGCGCCGCCGUCAACACACGUUGACGAUGUCAUGGUUCCCCGUUGCUGUUCUGUCAGGGAAGCUCCCCAUGAGGAAGACAUGACAGCUCUCCCCGGCUACGGAUACAGUGCUCUUGAGUCCUUUUUACCUCGAUAAGCCUCCGCAAUGACGGAGUGUUUCGGCCCACAUGGCACACACACACCGCAGUAAAGUGCAGUCAUUAAGAUGUUUGGUUUCCCGCGCGUCUCCAUCUGAGAUUGAGUGGUUUGGUGUUCUGACGCUGCGCAUCCCAGAGAGUGGCUGUCAGUCAGCAGCUCCAUUUCUAUAAAUUGUAUAGUAAAACUAAAAUAAGGGAGUCUAGACUGUAUGGCAGAAAUGACGGGAGCAAAGGUUAUAUGUGUGUCAGUGUACCUUCUGUCUGGGUCUGUCGGCCCUGGUUCAGACAGUUUGAAGAGAAAGAAUACUAAAUUAAUAUUUUAGCUAGCAGUUUGCUUCCACUUUUGUGUCGAUUGUGAGAGCGUAGGAGGUGAAAGAACUGAAAAAUAACUAGAAAAGGCAGUUUAUGAAGCAGUACAAGCUUUCUCUAAGGGUCAGAAACAAACCCCAGGGCCAGACGACAGACAGACAGACAGGCAGACAGUCAGACUCUGCAUACACACACAGGUCUGACAUUAGGUUCUGUUUUCUCCUGAUCAGUCAUGUAUUUCAGAAUUCAGAGCUACACACACUUAAUCCAAUAUAUAUUUUUACCCUCCUUGUGAUCUUGUGAGAGUCUCAUCCCGCCUCUGUUUGCCACUGUUGUUUGCGUGGUCAUCUGGAUGGUGUUUCUUGUCGUCCUGAUCUUCUCAUUUUUAUUUAAAGAUGUUUCUAUUAGGACAUUUUGGCUUUUUUUAAAUUCUGCUUGCUCAUAUGAUCGAUUGCAUCAUUUCUUUCAUCUCGUUUUUUCUACCAUCACAUUUGAUCAACUGUAUUUUUCCUUCUUGACGCUCAGCUGCUGUUUUAUUGCUGCACAAAUAGACCUACAACCUGUUUUUGUUUGUGCAUCUAAUCCACUUUUUCUGCCACCAUGUCUCGGGCUGACUAUAAAUCAUCUGGCUUAUUUUUCUCUAACGUUAUAACCCAUUGGAGUCGGAUGAAAGAAUUAACCACCUGCCCCCCCACACACACACACACGCAGUACAAUGAUAAUAGACGAAAGCUACGGAUGAAUAUUAAUAAAUGAUGAUGAACAUCCUUUACUCUCUCCAAAGACAAUCUCUCAGCUGGGGGAAAUGUAAAUGGUUACAAGCGGUAGUAGCAGGCAACGGAAGAGUCCAAUAAAAGUGAAGUAGGAGGGUCACAUAUAUUAGAAUUACACCCGAAAACAACUCUGCCUGCAAUGCCAAAAACACCCAAUAAAUUCUCUGUAAAAGGUAUUUACAGUUACUAACGCUCAUUCGAACACUCAGAUAUUGUGUGUUAUUUAUAGUAACCCAAGUACUUUACUUGUAACACCUACAUCAUUGCUUAUAAUAACAGAGGAUGUGAUAGGAGUGUCGAAGAUGGCGGUGGCUGAUUCUGAUUCUGCUGAUGUAAUGAUGAAUCAGCAAAGUACGAUGAAUGAAUUGCGGGCAAACAAGUAAUAAAGUAUGUUUUUGCCUGUCAUGGGGUUGGGGUGGGAGACUCAGACAAUGGUAGAGGAUUUAAGGUUGGAAUGUAUUCCUCAAAGCAGAUACAAACUAAAAGGCCAACAGGAACACAAGGAAACACAUGGUUUAAACACACUGGGGAGGUGCAGGCAGAAAAUCAUUAAGGUGGAGAAACACCGGGGCAGGAAGUGAAUUAAACCCAGGGACAUGAGAGGCAGGAAAUACAAGAAAACAAGAACAAGAAAACAAGAAAAUCCAACCCAACAUUAUGACAAUCCAUACAUAGUAUAUCUACAUAAUCUCCAUCGGAUGCCAGGAUAGGGUAUUCCUUAAACACUGUCUCGUUUCUCUCCUCAGCCCCCCCUUCUCUAACUGAGAAUGUUGGUGAGAAGAUAAUGUUAACUAUAAAUAUUAAAACCAGUCACAGAGAAUAUCAGGUUUAUUUUCUGCAUCAGAGCAGGGAGGAAUCGAGAGAGGAAUCAUCACUUUACGUCUGUUCAAGUGUGAGCUGUCGAUCCCAAUUGUGAUGUUGAAAAGUUGCAUGGACAUUAGUUCAGCAGAUUUGAAUUGUUAUAGCUUGUGAGUCAAAUCUGAUUCGGCAAAUCUGAAUAUUUUCCUCUGGAGUAGAAGUGUUUUUGAAGUGCCUUUGGGUUCUUUUGUAACAAUAGCAUCUUUCAAAAUGACAAACAUUGAAUACAAAUGCCAUAUAAUAACGAUAUUAACGAUAUUAAUAGUCUUCAUAUAUCCUACAUGUUUGGUUUGCAAUGAGCAGACAUUUAGCCUGGAGAACUUAUAGGAGAAAUCUGGUCAGCUCCGCACUGACUGGUGCACCCCCCAUCACCCCUCCUACUCUGGCCUCCUUCUCCAGCCCGAGGAGCUCUCCAUGGUGCUCACACAUUCACAGCAGAGCUUAACCGGACCCGAGGAACCUAAUCGAUCCACUUAUUAGAAAAUAGUUUUUUCCCAUAGAAAAGCUGGUCAGACUGGAAGCUGUGAUGAUCUGCAUCGUGAAGUGAGGAGGACGCACUCCCACCCCCUUUACACCUCACACAUGCUGUGGCAUCGUUAAGAUCACAAUGGGCUUUAUUGGCCAUGCAUGGGCAAUGUGCUCCUCCCUGUGAGUCCGGCCUUGAAGACGUCAUGCUCCUCAGAAUCACACUGGCCGUGGGUCAUUGAUCGGAGCAGUUACUCAGCCUCAGCCUCAAACGGCUUAUUUUGGAAAUCAACAUGACUCCAGGCUUUUGGUUUCUGAAGGGUGCAGCCUGACGGAGAGCACCUUUAAACAUCCCCUCAUACGAUCUGUGUUUUAACUGCAUUAUAUAUUCACUCAAUGCGCACUUACAGGCUUUGCGUCGGAUCUUCUACGACGUAUCCUUGUUUUCACGCACAAAUGGACUUUGAAUGGCCAUUGAGGAGAUGGUGGACACUGUGUACUACAAGAUGGGAUGACGACGGAACCAUCUCCAUGGCAACUGAGAAAACACAGAGGAAGACCGUGAAACACAGUUGAUACAAUCAAUUUUUCAAAUAAACAUCAAGUGUUCUAUUAAAUGUCUCUCUAGCGGUUCUGGAGCUUUUGAUUGCCAUCACAUGAGCUUCAUCAAUGUCAAGUUUGACCAGUGCUCCGUUAGUUGUGGAUAACUUGAAAACCUGGUUUUAUUUAGAAACAAAGACCUCAAAAUACAUGAUCUUCAUAAAAAUGGCUUUCAGAGGUGUCUCGUAACAAGUUUCAGCUUGUAUCCCAUCUCAUGCAUGUUUAUUGGAAUAGGUCCCCCCAGGACGGGACAUCUCAUGGAACAGGCCUUCUCUCCUCAGGGCCCACGCUACGCACUCUUUUUUUUGCAUCCCUUAAUCAGGUGGAUCAGACCUCCAUGCUUUAUUCUUGAUGGACACUGUACACACUGUAGAUGAUGAAGGGGAAACGUGUUUACCCGUUGGUAUCAUGACUACGCGCCCUUUGAGGGUGUGCUCAGCUCUUCACAGUGGAUGGCAUUGAUUGCACAGGGAGAGGGGGUUGUCAUCAGUCUGGCUACGUGGCUGCAGUUUCCAAAAAAAACUGAUAUGAAGAAUGAAAUAUCUAUAAUUGCUAGGACUGUCAACAUAAAUGCAUUAAUCUAUGCGAUUAAUGCGGCCGCGAUUAAUCCAACAAAAUAUUUUAACAUAGUUAACGUACGUUUGUUUACUUCUGGUUAACUGAAGUUGACCGUGGAAACAAAACGGCCGCUAACUGCAACCAGUUACAUCAAGAUGGAAAGAUUUUUGCAUUGGAAGUAAAACAAACAGAGGCGCAACAUACAGUGGUGCAGAGGAAUUACUCCACGUGUCAAACAGAAAGUGAGUGAGUGACAAACGGACCACUUAAAGCACUGCUAGGCUAAACUAGCUGCCAGGCUAAGGUAGCAGCUAGGCUGCCUCCAUCUCAACAUCUAACGUUACCCUGUGCGGCACACAGUCUGCAGAGGACCACCACGGUGUCCCUAAAAGACCUUGAUUUGAAAACGUUCUGGCUAAAUGUGGGGAGAUUGUUGGCACUUCAAAUACAGGCGUUACAUUAUGGAGAGUUGAGAGCAGAGUGCACGAGGACAACAGUUCAACAUGUUGAACCAUAAGGGGAAAUUCUACCUCCAAGAUGAUCAAAUGUGUGUAGUUUUGUGUUUAAAAUAACAUUAACAACAAUUACCGUUUGGGGUUAAUUGUACAGUAGUAGUAGUAGUUGUAGUAGUAGUUAUCCUUUAGAAGAAUUCCCUGCAUAAACGUAAUGCUGCAAUGUUUCUCAUUGUCAUAUUUAGUGAUUUGGGGAUUAACAUCUGGUAGUAUGCCCAGUGCCGAUACUCCGUUACCUCCAAAUGUUCUCUGAGCACCAGCCAAAGUUUGCUUACAAUGUAUGAUCGUGUUUAGAAGCUUGCAGCUCUUGGUUGAAGAUGGCUGAGGACUGUGUGAAAUGUGACAUUUUCACACACAAUAGCACAAACGGUAUAUUUGAACUCUCUUAUCAUCUUUUCACCACACAUGAAACACAUUGAAUUCAUACAAUUGAAGACACAAUAGCAGAAGCCCCGACCGCCCACUAUGAUAGAGGUUUAAAAAUACCUUUACAACUAUACUCAAUGAUCCAGUAUGGGAGCCAUUAUGUACCAGCCUGUGCUCAGUUUCCUCUCCUCUCAAGUUACAACUUGAAACAGUAUAUUCAUGUUCGCCCUGAUGUGAACAUUGUGUGCUUUAAAUGAUUUUGCCAGAGAACACUUUAAAAUGCCACUUCGAAAAAAGUGCAGGCUGAUCACUCCGAGAGGGAAAUGCAGCAAUGUUAUAUCACAGACACACACACACACACACACACACACACACACACACACACACACACACACACACACACACACACACACACACACUAAUCUGCUUCAUAUUGCUUUUAGAAAGGCUCAGAGAAAGUUUGAUUAAAUAAAAUGCAAAUCACAGUGAUUUUACACUUGACUUUGAAUGUAACUGAGAUGUUGCUUCAUUGGUAUUCAGCCGAGCAUUAUAGUGAUCCUUACUGCACAAUACAAAUGAAGCUGCAGAGGCUCUCAGCAUGAAUACGCACAAGGGAAUGUCAUUCAGCUCUGUCUUCUCCAUCAUUAUGUACACCUCACCAUCUAUUGUUUGGAAUCCAAACACUCUUUGAGCCAGCAGGAAUCCUGUUAUUGUGGAUCAGAGGAGAAGGGGUCAGGCUGGCCCUGGGAGCUCGAAGCACUGCGAAUGAGAAAACAUAUGCAAGUAGGCAAAACACAAGCACAAGAAAUCAUUAUCCCCAGGUUCCCAACAAAAUGCUACAAAUGGAGAAAAGACCCAUUGAUGUGCAUGAAUAGGGAGACAUUUUCUUACUUUGCUUCUGUUUGUAGAGCAUUGAGCUUUAAAAGAAAAAAUCAUAUUUGAGCAUGAGUGGUUACAUUGUGUCAUGUUAUUGUUAUAUACCUGCUACGACCAUGUAAUAACUGUUAAGAGGUCCUGCUCCUGUCUGUGCAGUCACAUCGCUCCCGGAGAGGAGGAAAGAGGGUCGGAGCUUUUAGAUAUACAUAGGUUUUAGUGUUUUUCCAACUACAUUUGGAUCUUUUAUUAUUUUGUCACCGUAUUGGGUGUGAUAUCAAGCCUAUUGCCGUUUGAUUGCUUCAGUGCUGUCUCGUUUAUGCAGAUUUUACAAGUUUUAUAUCCCAUCCCCAUCUUUUAAACCAAUCUUUUUCUGCAGACUACCUGAUGUUUCAACCUGCUGGCUUUCGAAGUCUCCGCUCAGCACCACCUCAGCUGAUAGAAGAUCUGCUCCACCCUUUGGUAGCCACACUGUUUACAGCAGUACAGCCCCCCCAGUCUUCAUGCACGGAUAUUUAAUGUCAAAAGAUUUCUGGCUUUUCAUUUGAAAUAUUUGCAAGAAUUGUUGGUUUUAUUUUAGCGGCCAAAAAAUCUGCAAAUUGAGGAAGUGAUGACUAAAUGAAAACAAUUUGGGUAUUUGUAGCAAAGUGGUAUUCAUGACCAACCACCAUUACUGAUGCCCUUCUGAUGGCAUUAUUGUAUUAUCAAGACAACAGGUAAAUAAGGUCAACAUUGAUUGUACUUGUUUACUUUCAACUGCAGUUAAAAAUAGAUCGCAUUGAUUGAUGUUAAUGCAUGUGUUCUGAAGUGUUUAUUUUUUCAUAAAAAAUGUUUCUGCAUCCCCAUAGACUAAGCCUUAAAGUUAGUUAUAGCCAAAGCCUCUACCAUUUACUCAGAACUACUCUUAGGUCUAAUUCUUAAAUGUUUCAGACUGAUAUGAAAAUUACCUUUAAACCUUAAGCUGUCAUUACAUUCACUUACAGCAACUUCAUUCAUUUUGGAGAUGUGUAAUGACAAAAGCACAGGUUUGCAAGAUCUUUGUCAACUGUCUAAAUAUCUAAAUGUAACUGCAGUGUUCCCCAAUAGGUUGAUCGCGAUCAACCAGUCUGUCUUGAAGGCAGUACCAGUCGAUCGCAUGCAAUCAAUUAAAAGAAUGACCCAUAUGCGCGGCCCAUUCCCGCGGGAGAUGACCGGAACUAAUGCUAAUUAGCGACCCUUGCUUACUAACGGACGCAUUUAAUUUUAUUCUAAAGAAUGUGCGGGAUGCUUGUGACGGUUCCCUCCUUGUGACAGAUGAGAGGCUAGUUGUUUUCUCCAUAUCGACUCGUUUUGCGCUGACUUCAGUCCUGCUGUUCCACUUGGUAACCGUUAUUACGGUCCCCCCCCCCCCCGCCGGGCGGUCCUCCAUGGGGAGGGAGGAGAUCGCCAUGACUUGGUCAGUUGAAAAGUAGCUCGCGAGCCGGAAAAGUGUGGGCACCCCUGGUCUACAGGGACACCGGUGAUUGCCUUGGUCUCUGUGGAGGUUCAUUUUCGGCUUGGGGUUCCAAGUGCUCGUAGCAGCUGUUCAGUCUCUGUGUCUCCUCUUGUGUAUCUGUGUAAAUAAGCAAUGCCUUUUUUCAGAUUGGAUCACAGUAGAUUGGACCACACCGGCUGAGAGGUCUUCUGGGAUGCUUGGCUCCAUCUGUUCCGGUACCAAGCAUUCAUCAUGCAGCCAAGUAGUAAGUCUGGUCAUAUAGUGAAACAAAUAUCAUUGAAAAUGUAUGUGUUAAGCACUUAGGACACAUCUUUUAUAGUAUUUUUAUUGGACACUCCCUGCCUGCUACAGGUUUCUAAGCCAAACCUACAAUACCAAUGUUGUGCUGCAAAAGUGGAAAUAACACCUGAAUAGUCUUGUAGCCAAUCUCAAGAUACCACAUGUGAGUUCAUAGAUGCAGUAAGCCAGGCCUAGAUGUUCCACCACUGGUCCAGGCACUGACCCAUAAAGAAAUGACCAGAUGUUAAAAUGCUCCUUUCCUAUUACCUAAGGGUUGAUAUUGUCCAAUAGCACAACAGCUCCUUGUGCUUUAUCAACCUGUUCACAAUCAGUCACUUUUAUGGCUUGUAAGGGAAAAAUGUGUUUUGUGGGUUCCAACACGUUUCAAUCCCUCGUUUCCAUAUAAUCAUAAUUAGUGUUCAGAUCUUUAUGUGUUCAGAUCUUUAUGUUCACGUUUGUUUAAUGUGACUAAAUACGCUUUGGCGUUCAACUGAACACAGUGUGUUUUGGAACUCAUCCAUCCAAGUUGUUUGAUGAUGUAUUUCUUUGUCCAGCCAUAUUUAGAAACUUGGAGAGACGAGGUGGAGGCCAACAUGAGGUUACUAUAAACGGAUAGAGGAUCAUUUGGAGCAUUGUGUUAAAAACAUCAAGAAACUGGUUAUGAUCAGAACCCAAAUAAAGGAGAUGGAGACGUCCCCCCCAAUAUGAAAUGAAUGAAUGCGUCAAAUGUGGUAUUAUUAUGUACAACUGCCUCGUAUGUGUCUUUCUGGAAAGAGCUUGUUUCAUUAGAGUCUGUGUGAUUCCAAUACAUCUCUGUGAUUUGAAACAUCUGAAUGUCCAGUGUGUUCUGUGUGGGGGUGUUACUGAAAGUCCUACGUACCUCACCACAUGUUAAAGUUAGAAGAUAGAGUUAAUUAGUCAGAAGGUUGUACAAACUGAAAUCCACCACCAAAGAGGUUGUGGUCUGUCCCUUUUGUUUCUCUUUGACUCCGUUUUACAUAGCGCUUGUGCAGCUACAUUUUGAGUUUUAAGUUCAGCUUUUAGCUUCUCUUCUAUGGUAUGAUGAAGCGAUUAAGAAGACUCAACCUCCCCCGCUUACGUUGACCGAGAUGAUAACCCCCCCUUCUUUUGUGUUUGAUGUUGAGUUCCCUUGGUGAUAGUGGUAUUUGGGGGCUAUUGUCAAAUCUAUCACACUAGAUUCCAUCUUUCACCUGUUGCUCUUUUUUGUCUGAAGUGAGCACAAUGUUCCCCUCUCACACUCUCCACAGUAAUGACCCAAUGUUCUGAAAGAAGAAAAGCCUGAGUCCUUGGGGGAUGAGGGGGGCGGCCCAAGCGUGGACUGUAUGCCCCGAGGCCCUCUCGCUCCGCUUAUAGAAAAGUCCAUUUUAGCUUCCUCACACGCUGACCUGCAACCACAAACAGUGGAAGCUGAUUAAAAAUAUGGCAUUUCUCUUUUUGCUACACAACAUGAUGUAUGUGGCAUUCACAGUAUCUAAUAUCAUAUAGGUAGUGUGUCCAAAAGCACAGUACACCACAUUGGCAUCUGUCAAGCAACAUCGUUGCCAACCUUGCACCAGCAAAUUCUUAUGAUGGUGAGUGAUGACUAAGUAUUCAUUAUUUUGAAAUGAUUUAGUUGGCUAACGUUAGCUAGUUCUGAUUAGUUAGCUAUGGGGGCGUGCUAGCUAACCUAGCUAAGUUAGCCAAUGUUAGACAGAGUGCAGUCGGUGAGAGAAUUUUUUGGAAAGGGGGUGUGGCUUAUCUCUGUAAAGGCAGUUAUCAUUUCCGCUAUCCACUAUGGAAAUACACUAUUUGUGCUCUGUACCUGUUGUGGAAAUAACACAAACGUUGCACAUUAACUUACGAUCUUUCAAUCUGAGCUGUCUGUCUCGGUAAGUGACAGUUUCAUAAAGUGUAUUCACGCUUUGGCAGUAGGACGGCGGCGAUAACGAGCGGAGGAGAGGAUCUCAAUGCUGAUUGGCUUUCGCAGGACAGCGUUGUUGAAAUAUUUUACCUUUGGUGAAAAAGCUAUUCAUUCGCUUCUCUCCUUUAGCUUUUUCGGGUCCCCCAUGCAGCAUUGUGUUGAGAAUUUGCGUUGAAAAUUUGCUUCCUCCACAAACAUGCGCUUCUGUGCAUUGACUUUGCAUGGAAUCUACUCAUUCAAAUAAUUUGCUUCGCUUUUGCUGUGAACAUUAGUGAGACGCAGUUGACUGGUCUCAAGGUUUAAAUAUUUAGUGUUUUGUUUUUACAGAAGCAUGAAGUAAUCGGCUCAAUAACAUUCUGCGUUCUGCAAAAUGGUCAAGCUAAACACGAGAAACUAAAAAUAAAAUUGAAUGAGUCUGAUUUAUGUUUUCUGUUUGAUUUGGUUCAAAAGAAAACUGUACAGAAUCUGUACACUACUGCCUAAUAGUCUUAUUAGUGCUAUUUGAUGACAAUUACACAUACAGGAAAAUAAGUUAAUUUAUUAUUUUUAACAAAGGUUGAAUGUUAUUUCACAAGUUUCAUAAAAUGCCCCCAAUUUCUUAUGAAAUUGGUUUUUAGUCAGUGGGGGCAAAAAUUCUGCUAUUUUUGCACUCUCACAUCUGUCAAGGGUUACCAUAUUAAAAGUUAUAACUGAGCCGUCAUUUUAUGGUCACAAUAUUGAAAUGCAGGUGCUGCCGGACAGAUGCCAUUAGAUAUUAAAUGUUUCAUCACAGUGAAUGUGGCAGCAUGCUGCUUGUGUGGUUAUCACAAAGUCCCUUGAUAUCUGAAUAUUUUGCUUAGACAUUUUUCUUAAAUUUGACUCCACAAUCUAACACACACACACUCACCUACACAUACACCCUUCUUAGAUCUCAUCCACACUUGUCGGCUGCAUCUUUCACAGUCUAAAUUUAGCUUACCAGAUUUAAUUCAAUAAACCACCUGUCUUCUCUUGCAGUCACCUCACUGCUUCAAGGUUUUCUUCUUAGCAUUUGCAUAGUAA